GACGAACGCUGGCGGCGUGCUUAACACAUGCAAGUCGAACGGAAAGGCCCUGCUUUUGUGGGGUGCUCGAGUGGCGAACGGGUGAGUAACACGUGAGUAACCUGCCCUUGACUUUGGGAUAACUUCAGGAAACUGGGGCUAAUACCGGAUAGGAGCUCCUGCUGCAUGGUGGGGGUUGGAAAGUUUCGGCGGUUGGGGAUGGACUCGCGGCUUAUCAGCUUGUUGGUGGGGUAGUGGCUUACCAAGGCUUUGACGGGUAGCCGGCCUGAGAGGGUGACCGGCCACAUUGGGACUGAGAUACGGCCCAGACUCCUACGGGAGGCAGCAGUGGGGAAUAUGGCACAAUGGGCGGAAGCCUGAUGCAGCAACGCCGCGUGCGGGAUGACGGCCUUCGGGUUGUAAACCGCUUUCGCCUGUGACGAAGCGUGAGUGACGGUAAUGGGGAAAGGAGCACCGGCUAACUACGU
rnacentral:rRNA from 1 species